ensembl:lncRNA
GGGGUAUAAAUAGGGGCUAGGGAAGGCAGAGGAAAGGAGGGAGGACGAGUUUCGAGGCCCUUAUUUAGACUACGAUAAAGAUCACUAUAUAACUUUUUCUUUAACUGUCUUAUUUAUCUCAUUUGUUUAUUUUAAUCGUUGGAACAUAUCCUAUACUGCUCCGUCUCCAUCCCAAGACAAUGACAUGCUGCUAAAAACAAACCGAAAAACAACCACGGACAACACAACAAGGACGAUUAAUACAAUAAAGUAUAAAGUAAAUACCAUUGCUGGUAUAAAAACCACACACACACACAUGUAAACAAUGAGUGUAGAUAAAUAAAAUAAAAUUCGCUUUGGGAAGGUGGUGCUGUUGGAGGCCUUGUCCGUUUCCCCGCCACCACCGCGCCAUCGGCGGGCGCUCUGCGGGAGGGAGGGAGGGGGAGCGCGGAGGAAGGAAGUAGGAAAAUGGGAGGAUGCGGCCGCGCUUUGCGUCAAGGCGCUCAGUGCUACGAGGAAAGGGUCCUCCGCGUAACACGACGACACGAUUUGCCUAUUUAUUUGUUUCUCUAAACCACAAGCAACGCGAGCUAGUUAAAACGUAAGUCACACGACAAGAAAAGAACACGAUAUUUUCUCGCUUUGCUUUUGUAUUGUCUGGCUUUCCCAGGCCGCGGGUUUCUCAGUGGGAGAUCUUAGCUAAAGUGGGUUAGCUUAGCCUUGCUACAACGGCUAGGAAUUGAAGGAGGAAAAAAACCAAAACAAAACCAAAUAACGAUGUUAUAAAUUUUAUUAAUCUGAUCUGCCGUGGUUUGCGAAUUUGUACAGAAUCGCUGUUUUAUUUUAAGAACGUUUAUUGCGCUUUUUUGUUUAUUUAUUUAAUAAAAUCGUUUCUGAAAGCCAUGCGAAUGUAAACAGUUUGCUAGCAAAACAAGCAGCUAGCUUAGCCAGCGCGGAAAAAAAAAGUUGGACGUAAACUAGUCUUAAAACCUGUGAUUCCUUUAGAUUUAAGGUAUGUGGAACGCUUUAAAAACCACUCCUAGACAUAUUUAUAAAACAUAAAGUAUUUAUUCAAACGCGUAUGGUCAACUUAUUGUCAUUUCUUCACUGCUAUCGUAGCCUCAUGUCGAAAUAUGUUGUUUACGACACCUUGUUUACGUUUUAGCUCCUUAAUUUGACGGCAGUGUGACUUUUUGUGAGUCUUAUCAUUUUUUUUAUUGCAAAAACAUUGUGUUUAUAUUAAUAAAAAGGUAACUUCACGUUUUAUGUCUAUAACAGUGUUGUAAUUGCAUGUAAACAAGCUAAAAACAAGCCCAGAAUCGAACACAAUUUGUUUGUACAUUUUUCAGUACUAUAAUUAUGCGUAUUGUUAUUAAUAUUGUAUCAAUAUUAUAAUGAUAUAUCUUGUUAAAUUUAGUGUGAAAACUGUGUGUAGGUUGUUUCCUGGUGGUGGUUGUUGUUGUUGUUGUUGGUUGCAGAUUCCAUGCUUGAGGAUGCAGCUGUAUGGAAAUGACGUAAAGCCAAAAAUAGACGCUAACUAAUAUUCGGCUUUGUUUUGACUUCCGUGGUGCUCUGAGGUUUUAUGUUGGCUUCGAGACGUUCGUUUGUUCGGCUUGAAGCCGUAAUAUCCGCUUAUUAAUCUCACACCAGGUCAUGAACAUGGUGGAGAAGCUCCAUCUUUCAAACGCAGGACUUGUACAGCGGACGCGCCACGUGGACGGAGUAAAAUAACGCGUGUAAUCACAGAUCCGGCGACGCUUCCUGUGCGAAGACUUCCGUUUAACGUUUAUAGAAGGAGUCUCCAGUGUCAGUGGUAAAGCAGUAGGUAACUCUACUGUAACUCCACCACGUCGCUGAAUAUUCCUUGCGUUAAAGCCCGGUUUCCGACCGGUUCGACGCGCUGUCUCGUUUUAUUCUUCCGGAAGACGGAAUCAGACGGAUGAAGAGCGCCGCAUCACCGCUAGAUAGGAAUAGAAGCUUUGUUAGCGGUUUGCGUUGCAAUAAAGCAGCUGUAUUAAUAUACGAUGUGUGUUAUGGAUGUAAGCGUACACUACCGGUCAGAAGUUUAGACGCACUUUCUUUACCUUUAUUCUCCCCCGACAUUUUAGAAUAAUUAAUAAAGUCAUCAAAACUCUGGAGUAACACAAAUGGAACGUGUACAAAUGUGUUCUCGGCGUUUUCUCGAGCGAUUUCUCGAGGAAUUUCCCCGAGAUGAUUUUUUUAAACAGUAUUAAAGGAGUUCACACCGACGCCGGACACUCAGCGGCUGCUUUUCACAAUAUUUCUCCCCGAGUCGUCCGUUUAGAAAUAUCCACUUUUUUUUUUGUCAAUAAAACGUUAGUUUCUAAUGAAAGAAACGAAUAUGUUGGCGCGGUUAUGUUUUUGUCACUGAAUUCAAACAUUUAAUCACACACCUUCAGAUCGAAAGCUUUUUAAGGUCGUGAGAAACAUUUCAGUCGAGCGCGUACAAACUUUUGAGCGGUAGUGUAGGUGCGGUGAUGUCCCAUACAGAACGAGGGGGGGACGAGCUCAAGCUACACGCUGGUGAAAUUCGGACGCGUAUCUGUUGGUUCGAGACUGUCGGAUCGUCGGACCUCGUGCUUGUUCAGUGGUCUGGCCGGAACGUCGACGUGAGAGGAGUUCUGGGGCGUGUUCGCUUCUGUUUCUGGGGGCUGUUAGGACUGUUAGAAAGUUUUCCUGGCCUGCUACGACCCUGCGUUUACGUUUAAAGGUGCGUCGAAACAUUGUUUUUUCAGUCUGAGUACAUGCGUAUGUUUUCAGCUCGUCGAUACUGACGAACGUUUGUAAUUCCAGUCAUUUUUUGUGUGUGUAAUGUUCAGAUUUCUGAAUUUUAUAGUUAAAGGUCAAGGAACACAUCCUGUCCGAUAAAGGAAUUUUUUUUAAAGUCGUCACAGCACACCGAUCAUGCCUAAAUGGAAAUAUGACCAUCACAUUGUGUCUCAACCAGCUGCAGGGGUGUAUACGGGGGUGGUGUAUGCAGGGGUGCCCGGGUGUAUGCAGGGGUGCCGGUGCGCAUACAGGGUCGUGCAGAUUUUAACCACAGAGAAGCGAAUCAUAUUUGCUCAAAUAAUUCCGUAAGCGUUCGCUCAGACGGAAGGGAAUGACACAUGGGCAGUUUUUGUUUUUAUUUCCGGCUGGAGGAGGAACGUGGUUGCGGUCUUUAAGAAAUGAACCCUGCACAUUGUAAGUCUCGUACAUCCGUGCCUAAUUUGCUUUCUCGCUAAUGUCGAUGUGAAAGACCGUACCUGCCCAGGCGUGGGGUUUUCCUCAGGGUUGACCCGCCAGGCCCGUUCCGGAUUCACGCCCAAAUAUAUAACGCUUCGAUAUUUAUCUGGAACGCAGCCGUUUUAAUAGUGUAGCGAGCGUCUCAAAUCGCCACUAAAAUGUCUCCGGGGACGUUUUUUUUGAAAGGUCGUAUAAAAGACGAAGCGGAAUCUCGCUGGAACUUGCGGAUACAGCGUUGUUAUGAUGCGUCACGGGUCCAGAUUACAUUACCGAGACUUGAACAGGAGCAGGGACGGAGACGAACGAUGACCCGAUGGUAGACGGUGAUCAUUUAUUCUCUCUCUCUGUCUGUCUGUGUGUCUGUCGUGUUUGUUCUUGUUUACGGACAGGAAGUGUGUGACGGAUGGAUUUAUCCGAGGUGUCGUGCGGCGUGUAACAAACAGUUCGGCUGCCAGGAUCCUGCUUUGAGUCACGCAGAGCAAAAUUAGCGAAUCGUGACGUUGACUGUCAGGACAGCUGUGUGUGUCUCCUCCGAGCAAUAAAACCUGUCGUGCUGUGUACGUCCCUGACGUCAGCUCCUUUCCUACAACAGUACGUUUAUAGUUACUUUCCGCGAAGCAAAAAACAAGUUCCUGUUCUCAGUUACGCUAUAGCAACUUUCCUUCACCAGCCCCCCCCCCCCCCCACCCCACCAUGAUGAUGAUAGAAGAAACCACAAAGCGGUUACACUGGAGACUCCUUCCAUAAACGUUUCCAUACAGAAAACGUCACCAUGCCGACCGUUUCGCACAUUGUUGUUGUUGUUGUUGUUUAUUUUUCCUUCAAGUCUCUGUGAACGAGCUGUUACUAUAGCGACUACAACAUAUCGGAGCCGUUUAAGAAAAUACUUUCCGACCAAUCAGAAUUCAGCAGCGUGAUCACGCAGCAGUGUCGUAUCACUAAGACAAGAUGACGAGGGACACGCUAGCAAGUGACCAGAUGAGCGAAACGUGACGUGCGGAGCGUAAUGUUUCCUUUUUAAAAACUUUUUUUUUUUUUUUUUUUUUAAAUAUUACAGUAAAAAGCAACGUGAAAGAACGCAGUUGUACUUUUUAUUAUUAUUAUUAUUUCUGCUUCUACCAGACGAAGCUACGUUGUGAGACGGCGGGCGUAGAUUUAGUUUUUGGGAUAAAAUUGGUACGCGAGUUUAGGAGUGUGUGUUUGUGUUACUCACUUCUUUCUCCUGCUUUUUCUUCUUCUUUCGUUCUUUCAGGGUCCAAGAGCAGCCGAAGCGCGUUUGCCGUGAAGGCGAUCGUCCAUCGCUACACCUGGGACCGAGAGCUCCGUUCUGAAUCUUCUAAACCCUACAGAGAACACGAGAACUGCUGGAUGAAACUCUUUCUCCUCCGGAUUGAUUCUUUUUUUUGUGUUCGUAUUUCCUUUUUUUUUUUUUUUUUUUUUUCUCCUUUUUUUUUUUUCUUCUCCACCUAUCAUCAUAAUUUUUACACUACGUUAUUUUACACUACACUGGAUGACACUACAAACCGGGUCCAGAUUGAUUAAAUGAUCGUACGGGGGCUGGUGUGGAGUUUGCAGGUUUGAGUGGAGUUUUCACGGGAUUUCUGAAUUCCCUGGGAAUCUUUACGUGGAAAGAGAAGGCUUUCUGGGAUUUUUGGGAUCUACUUCUUCGGG